rnacentral:misc_RNA from 1 species
AACAUCGCGCACCUGCGGGAACCUGCGGAGGGAUCAUUACAGAGUUGCAAAACUCCCUAAACCAUUGUGAACGUUACCUAAACCGUUGCUUCGGCGGGCGGCCCGGGUCCUUCCCGGCGCCCAUCGGCCCUCGCGGGCGCCCGCCGGAGGUAAACCAAACUAUUGCAUUGUAUGGCCUCUCUGAGUCUUCUGUACUGAAUAAGUCGAAACUUUCAACAAUGGAUCUCAGAUCGGAAGAGC